GGAACAGCUUCUCCGCCCUGGAGAAGGCCUUGGCGUAGAGCUCCUGCAGCGCGGGGUAAGGAGAGCAUGCCAAGCAGAAUUGGAGCAAUUUGGAGCAGUGCUUUGGGCUUUUUGCCUACCACAGGAGCAACUGUGUUGGACCACAUGAGAUCCAUGAAGGUUGGACCUGAUGAUCUUGGAGGUCUCUUCCAACCUCAGUGAUUCUGUGAUAUGAAGGAGCAAUCAAUGUCCCUGUGUGCAGGAUGGACAGGAUCCAGGGGCAGGGAAGGACCCUUGCUGGGAAUCUCAUCCACUCCAUGGAGAUCCUCCUCUUUUUUUCUGUUAUUUGCAUAUUUCAUUUCAUCACCUCCACACAGUGCAGAGGAGACACAAAGAACCCAAAAGUUUUGUCACUUGGCUCCUUGUCUGCUCCUGCCAACAACCUUUUCCAAGGAUUAUGUUGUAGGACUCCAGUUGUGGCCUUUCGGCUUGUGGUGCUCCACACGGCAGGAGCUCCAACACACUCCCUGAGUCUGGCUUUCAGCACCACUCCGAGAUUUCAGAUCAGAUUGGGCACAUUACACAAAUCUGUUCACUAUGGAAUCUGACAGAUUUUAUUUUCAUGGUGAGUGUUUUCACAAGGAACACCCCAAAAUCCAGGAUCAGCAUGUGACACCUGAGCAGUAUGUACACUCCCUUUCCCACAGUAACCUCUUAAUGUGCUUCAUGUGCAAUUCAGGUUACUCAUAAAUAAUUCUCUUUGCAAAUCAGACACAUAUAAAUUAUUCUCUGUAAUUGAAAAUUACCUAUGAAUUAUUCUGUUUGUAAUUCAUAGAUAUGUCAUUUAUUCUCUAAUAUAUUGACAUUGCUUUCUUGGAUAGAAAUGCCCGGGGCUGACAGUAACAGGGUGAUUCUCAAAGGCCGAGGCAAUAUCAUACAGUGUGAGUUCAUUUGGGAUAUUCUGACAAGACAGGGAUGUGAAGAAAUUCCAUGUACAGGUCCAGAAAGGACACUCAGUGCAUUAUGGAGUUAUUUGGUAUUGUAUAGGAUUUGACCCUAACAUUGCAGAGAUUGUAUUUUUAUUAAGUUGAUUAUUCUAAAGUUAUAUAUUUUAUAAGCCAACUUGUAAGUAAUUUCUAGCUCUGACUUUCCCAUAGGCACUGCAGAUGCACAGAAGGAGAUUCCCUCUGUUCCCUUCCCCUCUCAGCUCUUGUGAAGUAUUUGGAGGCAAACUGACUUAACCUGUCUCUUUGUAUGUCAGAGGGACAUUAGCUGGGUCUCUUAACACUGAUUAAUUACCUUUGUUAGGUGCUGUACUGUAAACAAGCAGUGAUAGUGCAGAAAAUUCAUCGUCAGUCAACAGAAAUGAAAAGCCCAGAGCAAACAUAACGAGUGAUAACUAAUUAUCAACACAUGCUCCAGUUACUUAAUAGCCCUUUCCCUGAGAUUUGCACUUGGUGUCUGCUACUGCUGCUCCAGGAUCAGCCUCUCCUUCUCAGUAUUACACCAAUGACAGCCUGAAAGCAAUUUUCUCAAUUUAUUUGUUUACAUUUAUAGAAAGAUAUUUCUCUUGACUGAGAAGCUCUGCUCCAAAUAAAAUUCUCACUGGUCCAGCUCCUUCCUCAUGGAGUUCAACACAGCCCCUACACAGACCCAGGCUUUGCCUGCCAAGUAGGCUCAGCUCUUGGGGUCACACCAAAUCUCUUUGGCCAGGCUCAGACCUGGUUUUGAGAUACUCAGCAGUUUUCAGAAUCAAUCCCCUCUGCUCACAGAGAAAAUCCACUCCGGACCUGCUCAGCCCUCUACUUGCACCCCCGUGGAGCUCUGGCAUCCUCUGUCCACUUGGCAUUAAGUGGCCACAAAGCACUGAGUCAGAUCUCUGUGUGUUCCAGCCCAGAAACUCAGAUAAAGCCUUCUGGCCUCACGUAGUGCCAGAUCCCAAUAAUAUUUGUGUGUAAUGUCUCUAGAAUAUGUCUGUGGCUCAGAAACAGAUGGUCUCAGGAAGAGUCAUUCCUGGUGCUGUGGAAACCUUCAGGGAUUCACACGUGCAUUUACCAGGAGGAGAAUGUGCCUGUCCUAUUGGAACUGUGAUUGAUGUGUUACUGCUGCAAGACUCAGUGCUGCAAGUUUGUCCUCCCAGGAAUCUGCCUCAUUAAUUAACUUGGACUGCUGGACAAUUAGAUGGACAACUCAACAAUAUGCAAAAAAGGUUUGCAAGGCAAAAGACAAGAUUUGUAAAGGUCAUUAAAUACCUA